rnacentral:rRNA from 1 species
GACGAACGUUGGCGGCGUGCCUAAUACAUGCAAGUCAACUGAAAUACCGGUAGCAAUACUGGUAUGGAGGUGGCGCACGGGUGAGUAACACGUAGGUAAUCUGCCUUCAGGUCUGACAUAACCCAUCGAAAGGUGAGCUAAUAUCAGAUGAUGCAGCGGCUUGACAUCAAGACAGUUGUUAAAGCUUCGGCGCCUGAAGAUGAGCCUGCGCUGAUUAGCUAGUUGGCGGGGUAACGGCCCACCAAGGCUGCGAUCAGUAGCUGGUCUGAGAGGAUGAUCAGUCACACUGGAACUGAGACACGGUCCAGACUCCUACGGGAGGCAGCAGUAAGGAAUAUUGCUCAAUGGCCGAAAGGCUGAAGCAGCAACGCCGCGUGAGGGAUGAAGGGUCUUUUGCUUGUAAACCUCUGUAGCGAGAGACAAAACUCCCUAUUUUAUGGGACAUGAUGGUAUCUACGAAAGUAACGCCCC